rnacentral:rRNA from 1 species
GACGAACGCUGGCGGCGUGCUUAACACAUGCAAGUCGUACGGUAAGGCCCUUUCGGGGGUCCACGAGUGGCGAACGGGUGCGUAACACGUGAGUAACCUGCCCACAACUUUGGGAUAACGCUAGGAAACUGGUGCUAAUACUGGAUAUGUGCUCCUGCUGCAUGGUGGGGGUUGGAAAGCUCCGGGGGUUGUGGAUGGACUCGCGGCCUAUCAGCUUGUUGGUGGGGUAGUGGCCUACCAAGGCGGCGACGGGUAGCCGGACUGUGAGAGUGAGAGGCCACACUGGCACUGAGAGACGGCCCAGACUCCUACGAUAGGCAGCAGGGGGGAAGAUUGCACAAGGGGCGCAAGCCGGAUGCAGCAACGCCGCGUGCGGGAUGACGGCCUUCGUGUGGUAAACCGCUUUCAGCAGGGACGAAGCUUUUUGUGACGGUACCUGCAGAAGAAGCACCGGCUAACUACGUG